GCGUGACAUCUGUUACACGAACAUGAUGACUCUCGACAACGGAUAUCUCGGCUCUCGCAUCGAUGAAGAACGCAGCGAAAUGCGAUACUUGGUGUGAAUUGCAGAAUCCCGCGAAUCAUCGAGUCUUUGAACGCAAGUUGCGCCCGAGGCCAUUAGGCUAAG
rnacentral:rRNA from 1 species